rnacentral:lncRNA from 1 species
AUGACAAAAAAAUAAUACGUGAAUUUAUCGGGCAAAAAAAAAAAUUUCCUCUCAGGCUUCUAGCUUUAGCAAUGGGGUAGAUUGUGUGAUUCAUUCAUUUAUCAAACAAUCUUUAUUGAGAAUAUAAAACGUAUUAGGUAGGCAUUGUUCUUCGUGCUGAAGGUACAACAACGAGUAAACGAUCCUCUUGAGUCGCGAAGAAGGAAACAGCGAAGGGAUUGGGGUUCGGCCCUGAGGCAAGGUGAGGUUCGCCCCCAGACGGGGCAUCUGCCCCCCUGGCGCGGCGUCCUUCCGCCAUUCUUUUCUCCCAGUCCCUUCACCCUGGAUUCGGAAGCCCCCUGCUCUGCCUGCUCCCGGAUUCAGACCCUGCUCCCGACCCUUUUCUAAUUUGAAACUCCGUCCGUCCCCCUGAAUCUUUUCUCCAGUUCCCUCCCCGAAUCCUAUUUCCCGACCUUGAUCCCGUUAGAUGGUUCCUCUGAAUUCAGAACCUUA